rnacentral:antisense_RNA from 1 species
GCCAGCUAAGGUCUAGACAGGGGAAGGGACUUGCCCCAAAUCACAGUUAGAGCAAAUCAGUCUGAAUCAGGAAUAACUCCAUUCCUAUCCCGCAUCCUGCCCUUUCACUACGCCACAGCUGCCUGGCUGCCUGGAGGAACAAAGGAGGGCCGGGCAAGAACGCCAUUACCAACUGCAAAUCCACAGGCAAAUGCAAGAGGACGGAAAUCCCAAGAACCCAGCCCCUAAGCCUUCAGCUCUGUCCCAGGUCUGCCUCUCCUCCAGGCCCUCAGGACGCAGGCUCCAAGCCUUCGACUGCCCAGAUCCCCCAUUCCCUCCAAGACCCAGGAGUCCAGCCUUCUGGCCUCUCUCACCUCAGCUUCCAGCAGUUCUGGAACAGGCUCCUCCUUGGUCAGCAUUGGGGGUUCGUCGGUGCUGCCAGCAGUUAUGCCCCCGGGAUCUGGAACGUCAAGGCGCUGCGAAUACGAGUGGGUCUCCACCACCAGAAUGGCUAAAGUGAAAAAGACCGCACCGUGUGGAGGCGAGAAAGUAGAGCGACUGGACCUCUCUUGUAUUUCUGGGGGAGUGUAAAUUGGUAGAGACAUUUUGGAAAACUGGCAGUUUUCUAAUGAAGCCGAACAUAUGCCACCUCUGUGAUCCAGCAGUUCCACUCCUAGGCUGUCAACACCCAGCAGAAAUGUGUAGGUGUGAGCAUCAAGAGGGUGCAUGGGAAUGUUCAGAGCCCUUUCAUAACAGCCCCAAACUGGAAAUAACCCAUCAACAGAAUGGAAAAUGAAUGAUGCCCUACUCACUACCAUGCACAUAGACACAGCAACGGGAUUGACAUGCCCGGCUACACACAGCAACAUAGACAAGUCGCAUGAUGAAAUCUUGAGUGACAGAAGCCAAAUACAACAGUACAUACUAGAUGGUUCCAGGUGUAUUACGUUCAGAACCAGACAAAACUAAUUUAUAGUUCACCAAAGUCAAGAUAGUGGUCGCCCUUAGGGUUGGGAGGGGACGAGGGGAGAGCUUCUGGGAGCUGAUCCAGUUCUGUUGUGUAAUCUGGUGCUGGUUCCCUGGGCAUAUGUAUUCUGUGAAAAUCCAUCACAUGACUUAAAUAAAAUGUACACUACUUAAAUAAAA